rnacentral:tRNA from 1 species
GGGUCGUUAGCCAGUUGGUAGAGCAGUUGACUUUUAAUCAAUUGGUCGCAGGUUCGAAUCCUGCACGACCCA